UCUGCUGCAAUUGCGCAACGAUGUUUGUGCCUCAGGUUGUUUCAAUGCGUGCGUCAUUUUUGUCCAAACAUUAAAAUAAUAAUAUUAUUGUUAUUUUAUUCCAUACGCGCGAUGAGUUCCUUGUGUACACAUCAGCACAUCUGUCCAAUAAGGCGGGCAUUACCUUUUUUUUUCAUAGGCUUAAAAAUAAAAAAUUAACAGAGGUCUCUGCAGCAGUCACGGGCGUUUACAAAUGUUUAUCGCGGCCAUCAAUAUAACACUCAUCGAAAAGAUUGGCCAUUAUUAUACACAAUACGAACGAGAUUGGUAGACAUCGAAAUAGUUUCGCGACACCUGCAGUUCACUGGAGAAAGCAGAUCCUCCAAAAUUAUUAAAUUAUUUCAUUACCGUUAAGCUUAACAAAA